UACGGGGGGGGCAAGCGUUGUUCGGAAUUACUGGGCGUAAAGGGCUCGUAGGCGGCCAACUAAGUCCGACGUGAAAUCCCUAGGCUUAACCUAGGAACUGCGUCGGAUACUGGAUGGCUUGAAUCCGGGAGAGGGAUGCGGAAUUCCAGGUGUAGCGGUGAAAUGCGUAGAUAUCUGGAGGAACACCGGUGGCGAAGGCGGCAUCCUGGACCGGUAUUGACGCUGAGGCGCGAAAGCCAGGGGGGCAAACGGG
rnacentral:rRNA from 1 species